AGUUUAUCAAGGCUGUCACUCAUCAAGUUAAAUUUGGUCAACAAAAUCCACGUCAGGACCUGACAUAUAAAUGUUUGGAUGAAUCCUCUAAUCAUAUUAGGUAGCACAAAGUGAAGCUGAAAAGAAGUUGAAGAAAGAUGACAAGAAGAAAGAAUUGCAAGAGCUAAAUGAGUUGUUCAAACCUG